rnacentral:rRNA from 1 species
GAAACAUCUAAGUACCCCGAGGAAAAGAAAUCAACCGAGAUUCCCCCAGUAGCGGCGAGCGAACGGGGAGGAGCCCAGAGCCUGAAUCAGCAUGUGUGUUAGUGGAAGCGUCUGGAAAGGCGCGCGAUACAGGGUGACAGCCCCGUACACAAAAGCGCAUGUGCUGUGAGCUCGAUGAGUAGGGCGGGACACGUGGUAUCCUGUCUGAAUAUGGGGGGACCAUCCUCCAAGGCUAAAUACUCCUGACUGACCGAUAGUGAACCAGUACCGUGAGGGAAAGGCGAAAAGAACCCCGGCGAGGGGAGUGAAAAAGAACCUGAAACCGUGUACGUACAAGCAGUGGGAGCACAGGUUUACCUGUGUGACUGCGUACCUUUUGUAUAAUGGGUCAGCGACUUAUAUUCUGUAGCAAGGUUAACCGAAUAGGGGAGCCGGAGGGAAACCGAGUCUUAAUUGGGCGUUAAGUUGCAGGGUAUAGACCCGAAACCCGGUGAUCUAGCCAUGGGCAGGUUGAAGGUUGGGUAACACUAACUGGAGGACCGAACCGACUAAUGUUGAAAAAUUAGCGGAUGACCUGUGGCUGGGGGUGAAAGGCCAAUCAAACCGGGAGAUAGCUGGUUCUCCCCGAAAGCUAUUUAGGUAGCGCCUCGUGAAUUCAUCUCCGGGGGUAGAGCACUGUUUCGGCUAGGGGGCCAUCCCGGCUUACCAACCCGAUGCAAACUGCGAAUACCGGAGAAUGUUAUCACGGGAGACACACGGCGGGUGCUAACGUCCGUCGUGAAGAGGGAAACAACCCAGACCGCCAGCUAAGGUCCCAAAGUCAUGGUUAAGUGGGAAACGAUGUGGGAAGGCCCAGACAGCCAGGAUGUUGGCUUAGAAGCAGCCAUCAUUUAAAGAAAGCGUAAUAGCUCACUGGUCGAGUCGGCCUGCGCGGAAGAUGUAACGGGGCUAAACCAUGCACCGAAGCUGCGGCAGCGACGCUUAUGCGUUGUUGGGUAGGGGAGCGUUCUGUAAGCCUGUGAAGGUGGCCUGUGAGGGUUGCUGGAGGUAUCAGAAGUGCGAAUGCUGACAUAAGUAACGAUAAAGCGGGUGAAAAGCCCGCUCGCCGGAAGACCAAGGGUUCCUGUCCAACGUUAAUCGGGGCAGGGUGAGUCGACCCCUAAGGCGAGGCCGAAAGGCGUAGUCGAUGGGAAACGGGUUAAUAUUCCCGUACUUGGUGUUACUGCGAAGGGGGGACGGAGAAGGCUAUGUUGGCCGGGCGACGGUUGUCCCGGUUUAAGCGUGUAGGUGUGUGUUCCAGGUAAAUCCGGUUCACUUUAACACUGAGGCGUGAUGACGAGGCACUACGGUGCUGAAGUAACAAAUGCCCUGCUUCCAGGAAAAGCCUCUAAGCAUCAGGUAACAUCAAAUCGUACCCCAAACCGACACAGGUGGUCAGGUAGAGAAUACCAAGGCGCUUGAGAGAACUCGGGUGAAGGAACUAGGCAAAAUGGUGCCGUAACUUCGGGAGAAGGCACGCUGACAC